GACGAACGCUGGCGGCGUGCUUAACACAUGCAAGUCGAACGGAAAGGCCUGGUUUUUGUGGGGUGUUCGCGUGGCAAACGGUUGAGUAAAACGCGGGUACCCUGCCUUGACCUUGGGGAUAACUUCAGGAAACUGGGGUUAAUACCGCAUAGAAGUUCCUGCCGCAUGGUGGGGGUUGGAAAGUUCGGCCGGUUGGGGAGGACCUCGAGGCUUAUAAGGUUGUUGGUGGGGUGAUGACUUACCAAGUCUUUGACGGGUAGCCGGCCUAAGAGGGUGACCGGCCACAUUGGGACUGAAUUACGGCCCAGGCUCCUGCAGGAGGCAGCAGUGGGGAAUAUUGCACAAUGGGCGGAGGACUGAUGCAGCAACGCCGCGUGCGGGAAAACGGCCUUCGGUUUGUAAACCGAUUUCGCCUGUGACGAAGCGGGAGAGAGGGUAAUGGAUAAAGAAGCACCGGCUAACUACGUG
rnacentral:rRNA from 1 species